rnacentral:rRNA from 1 species
UCCAGACUCCUACGGGAGGCAGCAGUGAGGAAUAUUGGUCAAUGGGCGCGAGCCUGAACCAGCCAAGUCGCGUGAGGGAGGACGGCCCUACGGGUUGUAAACCUCUUUUGCCGGGGAGCAACGGGCGUCACGUGUGGCGCCACUGAGAGUACCUGAAGAAAAAGCAUCGGCUAACUCCGUGCCAGCAGCCGCGGUAAUACGGAGGAUGCGAGCGUUAUCCGGAUUUAUUGGGUUUAAAGGGUGCGUAGGCGGAAUGCCAAGUCGGGGGUAAAAUCGCGGGGCUCAACCUCGCUCCGCCGUUGAAACUGGCGUUCUUGAGUGGGCGAGAAGUAUGCGGAAUGCGCAGUGUAGCGGUGAAAUGCUUAGAUAUUGCGCAGAACUCCGAUUGCGAAGGCAGCAUACCGGCGGCGAUCUGACGCUGAGGCACGAAAGCGUGGGUAUCGAACAGGAUUAGAUACCCGCGUA